rnacentral:rRNA from 1 species
UACGAAGGGGGCUAGCGUUGCUCGGAAUGACUGGGCGUAAAGGGCGCGUAGGCGGAUGGCACAGUCAGAUGUGAAAUUCCCGGGCUUAACCUGGGGGCUGCAUUUGAUACGUGUUGUCUUGAGUUCGGAAGAGGGUCGUGGAAUUCCCAGUGUAGAGGUGAAAUUCGUAGAUAUUGGGAAGAACACCGGUGGCGAAGGCGGCGACCUGGUCCGACACUGACGCUGAGGCGCGAAAGCGUUGGGAGCAAACAGG